rnacentral:rRNA from 1 species
UACGUAGGGGGGCUAGCGUUGUCCGGAAUCAUUGGGCGUAAAGCGCGUGUAGGCGGCCAGAUAAGUCCGCUGUGAAAUCUCGAGGCUCAACUUCGAGCUGUCGGUGGAAACUGUCUGGCUAGAGUCCGGAAGAGGAGAAUGGAAUUCCUGGUGUAGCGGUGAAAUGCGCAGAUAUCAGGAAGAACACCCGUGGCGAAGGCGGUUCUCUGGGACGGUACUGACGCUGAGACGCGAAAGCGUGGGGAGCGAACAGG